rnacentral:rRNA from 1 species
ACUGAACGCUGGCGGCAGGCCUAACACAUGCAAGUCGAACGAGUGGCGGACGGGUGAGUAAUGUCUGGGAAACUGCCCGAUGGAGGGGGAUAACUACUGGAAACGGUAGCUAAUACCGCAUACCAUCGGAUGUGCCCAGAUGGGAUUAGCUGGUAGGUGGGGUAACGGCUCACCUAGGCGACGAUCCCUAGCUGGUCUGAGAGGAUGACCAGCCACACUGGAACUGAGACCCGGUCCAGACUCCGACGGGAGGAAGCAGGGGGGAAUAUUGCACAAUGGUCGCAAGCCUGCUGCAGCACUGCCGGGUGGAUGAAGAAGGCCUUCGGGUUUUAAAGUACUUGCAGCGAGGAGGCGUUACUCGCAGAAGAAGCAUCGGCUAACUCCGUGCCAGCAGCCGCGGUAAUAC